AGUGAACGCUGGCGGCAGGCCUAACACAUGCAAGUCGAACGGCAGCACAGUAAGAGCUUGCUCUUACGGGUGGCGAGUGGCGGACGGGUGAGGAAUACAUCGGAAUCUACUUUUUCGUGGGGGAUAACGUAGGGAAACUUACGCUAAUACCGCAUACGACCUACGGGUGAAUGCAGGGGAUCUUCGGACCUUUCGCGAUUGUAUGAGCCGAUGUCGGAUUAGCUAGUUGGCGGGGUAAAGGCCCACCAAGGCGACGAUCCGUAGCUGGUCUGAGAGGAUGAUCGGCCACACUGGAACUGAGACACGGUCCAGACUCCUACGGGAGGCAGCAGUGGGGAAUAUUGGACAAUGGGCGCAAGCCUGAUCCAGCCAUACCGCGUGGGUGAAGAAGGCCUUCGGGUUGUAAAGCCCUUUUGUUGGGAAAGAAAAGCAGCGGAUUAAUACCCGGCUGUUCUGACGGUACCCAAAGAAUAAGCACCGGCUAACUUCGUG
rnacentral:rRNA from 1 species